UCAUCGAAUUGUAUUUGAUUUGCUGUUCAUAUCACCAGGUUAAAGGAAAAUUCCACCCCAAAGCUUUCAAAAUACAUAUAUCGAGCCGGUAUGAUCCAUUUCGCAUCAUAUGACUCAAAACGCAGCUAUAUUUAUGUAUUUUGACCAUUUUGACAGUUAUAUAUCUUCAAAACUUGAUUGCUGACAUGCAAAACAUUUUGGGACUAUAUCAACAAUG